UCACUUAGUGAAGAGUGUGGAGAGCGC
rnacentral:sRNA from 1 species